AAUAAUAACACGUCGUCGCUGUCACUAAUCAGUGCCUCCGGGCCACCAUUCAGUGGAAGCGGCGCUGUGGUGGCGGCCGCGCGCAAUUGGGCGUGCGCCUACGAUGCUGAUGCACGUGCCCGCCUGUGUGUCAGUAGGCUGCCGCUGCUGGAAGAGGAGGAAAGGAAGAGCAGAGAGGGAAGAAAGCAGAGACAAGUGCAAGAGAGGCUCGGAGGUGGACGGGACUUGACGUAAAUAAACACGGGAGACAGCUACUACAGUUCUGUCGCAGGACGCUGCAAACAGAGGGUCUUCAGUUCGAGGCUUCAGAGAGACCCACACACAAGAUUUGAGGAAUAAACCGGAAUACAUCCAGGGAAAAGGAGAGGAAUUCAUCCUUCUCUGUGUUACAUAUGGAGGAGCCACGGUGUGGGGAGGCCUGCUGGUCACAAUGGAGGGUUUUGGAGAGGUCCGGAGCUCCACCAGAGACCUCCACCACCACCACCACCACCACCACCACCACCUUUUGAUUGAGUUUCCCCAGCGUUAGGAUCCAGUGUUAUCGGAGGGACUCAUU
ensembl:lncRNA